rnacentral:rRNA from 1 species
ACGGCGAGUGAAGCGGCAACAGCUCAAAUUUGAAAUCUGGCGCAAGCCCGAGUUGUAAUUUGUAGAGGAUGUUUCUGGCGACGUGCCUUCCGAGUUCCCUGGAACGGGACGCCAUAGAGGGUGAGAGCCCCGUACGGUUGGAUGCCUAGCCUCUGUGAAACUCCUUCGACGAGUCGAGUAGUUUGGGAAUGCUGCUCUAAAUGGGAGGUAUACGUCUUCUAAAGCUAAAUACCGGCCAGAGACCGAUAGCGCACAAGUAGAGUGAUCGAAAGAUGAAAAGCACUUUGAAAAGAGGGUUAAAAAGUACGUGAAAUUGUUGAAAGGGAAGCGUUCAUGACCAGACUUGGGCAGGUUGAUCAUCCGUGGUUCUCCGCGGUGCACUCUGCCUGCCCAGGCCAGCAUCAGUUCGCCCCGGGGGAUAAAGGCUUUGGGAAUGUGGCUCCCUCGGGAGUGUUAUAGCCCACUGUGUAAUACCCUGGGGUGGACUGAGGUUCGCGCUCUGCAAGGAUGCUGGCGUAAUGGUCAUCAACGACCCGUCUUGAAACACGGACCAAGGAGUCGUCUUCGUAUGCGAGUGUUCGGGUGUCAAACCCCUACGCGUAAUGAAAGUGAACGUAGGAGAGAGCUUCGGCGCAUCUCCGACCGAUCCUGAUGUUCUCGGAUGGAUUUGAGUAAGAGCAUACGGGGCCGGACCCGAAAGAAGGUGAACUAUGCCUGUAUAGGGUGAAGCCAGAGGAAACUCUGGUGGAGGCUCGCAGCGGUUCUGACGUGCAAAUCGAUCGUCAAAUAUGGGCAUGGGGGCGAAAGACUAAUCGAACCUUCUAGUAGCUGGUUUCCGCCGAAGUUUCCCUCAGGAUAGCAGUAUUGAACUCAGUUUUAUGAGGUAAAGCGAAUGAUUAGGGACCCGGGGGCUAUAUAUUGCCUUCAUCCAUUCUCAAACUUUAAAUAUGUAAGAAGCUCUUGUUGCUUAAUUGAACGUGAGCAUUCGAAUGUAUCAAUACUAGUGGGCCAUUUUUGGUAAGCAGAACUGGCGAUGCGGGAUGAACCGAACGCGAGGUUAAGGUGCCAGAGUAGACGCUCAUCAGACACCACAAAAGGUGUUAGUACAUCCAGACAGUUGGACGGUGGCCAUGGAAGUCGGAAUCCGCUAAGGACUGUGUAACAACUCACCAACCGAAUGUACUAGCCCUGAAAAUGGAUGGCGCUCAAGCGUCUCACCCAUACCUCGCCCUCAGGGUAGAAACGAUGCCCUGAGGAGUAGGCGGACGUG